rnacentral:rRNA from 1 species
UAGGGAAUCUUCGGCAAUGGACGGAAGUCUGACCGAGCAACGCCGCGUGAGUGAAGAAGGUUUUCGGACCGUAAAGCUCUGUUGUAAGAGAAGAACGAGUGUGAGAGUGGAAAGUUCACACUGUGACGGUAUCUUACCAGAAAGGGACGGCUAACUACGUGCCAGCAGCCGCGGUAAUACGUAGGUCCCGAGCGUUGUCCGGAUUUAUUGGGCGUAAAGCGAGCGCAGGCGGUUAGAUAAGUCUGAAGUUAAAGGCUGUGGCUUAACCAUAGUAGGCUUUGGAAACUGUUUAACUUGAGUGCAAGAGGGGAGAGUGGAAUUCCAUGUGUAGCGGUGAAAUGCGUAGAUAUAUGGAGGAACACCGGUGGCGAAAGCGGCUCUCUGGCUUGUAACUGACGCUGAGGCUCGAAAGCGUGGGGAGCAAACAGGAUUAGAUACCCUGGUAGUCCACGCUGUAAACGAUGAGUGCUAGGUGUUAGACCCUUUCCGGGGUUUAGUGCCGUAGCUAACGCAUUAAGCACUCCGCCUGGGGAGUACGACCGCAAGGUUG